UACGGGGGGGGCAAGCGUUGUCCGGAAUCACUGGGCGUAAAGGGCGCGUAGGCGGCUCGUGAAGUCAGUGGUGAAAGCCCAGGGCUCAACUCUGGGUCGGCCACUGAUACUCGCGAGCUCGAGUUUGGUAGAGGCAGAUGGAAUUCCGGGUGUAGUGGUGGAAUGCGUAGAGAUCCGGAGGAACACCAGCGGCGAAGGCGGCAUCCUGGACUGGUCCUGACACUCAGGAGCGAAAGCGUGGGGAGCGAUCCGG
rnacentral:rRNA from 1 species